AACUUUGUAGUUCUGGUUAAAAGAAAACCAGAAAUACAUGGUAUGAUUUUUUUUCCUCUCUGUUUCAGUGAAGCAGGAGGAAGGGAAACUGAAGCACUAUCAAAACCACUGCUUGCAAAUAUUGACAGUUGUGUCCUGGUGAGGAAGCCGCUCUGAGGGGCCUCUGGGCAGUGGCUGUGGCUGCAGAACCAGCAGGAAAACAUCAUGCACACAGCUAAAGGACGUGAAGCCGUAAACUCUGAUCCAGGCUAGAGAACACUUG
rnacentral:lncRNA from 12 species